rnacentral:lncRNA from 1 species
AAGAAUAGAAGAUUACAUUACUUGCCUCUUCAAGAUGUCUAAAGAGGUUGAAAUACUAGUGGUGCCAAGAUCAAUGGCAUCCCUUUCUUCGAUAAAGAAAAUCAAUGGCAUCCUUGUGGAAGUGUCUUCACCAGUUCCUACCGUUUCUUUAUUGUGUAACAAGGAAAAUAAACCUUGGUACAUAUUGGAUUUGUAUGAAAGAUAAGAAACUAUGGAUAAACAUAUUGUACUAUGUAUACUAAUUAUUAUAUAGAAAUAUGAUGGUUCAUCCUAAAGGCUAAAUGAUACAAUAUUUAUGAUGGUUUAUCCACAAGCCUAAAGGACAUAAUUAUGAUGAUAAUGUUUUAACUGAAAGACUUUCGAAGAUCAGGAUCUUAAGUUUAUCCCUUUUUAGAAAUAAGAGAAGAUAGUAGUAUAGACUUAGGUUUUAAUUUAUUUCAUGUCUUUCCACUUUUCAACUAUUUGUAAAACUUCC